AGAAAACGUUUUUACAUUGAAUGUGAUGUGACCUGAUUAACUGCAUACGUGUGACAACAUAUUAGCCCAGAGUUGAAGGGCUGUGACUGUUGGUAGUUGCGGUUGAUUUUGUUUAAAUAUGCCGAAUUGUGAUAUUAUGUGUUAAUUUGUUAGAUGAUUUAGCUAACAGCUGCUAACGUCAGCAGUCUCUUGUUGCCAUAGCAACAGAAAACAUUGACAUUACACUAAUGAGCUGUAAAUAGAGAUGGAGAAUCAAGCUGUAUUGUAAAUACAGAUGAGAUACUUUUAAUUUUAGAUCAAAAUACAAGUAAACCUAUAGGAAAUAAUUAGUUUAAUUUGCAAUAUAUUUGCCAUUGAAUUUAUUGUAAUCUUUCAAUUAACUAUUUUUAAAAUAACUAUUUUUUAGGUAUAAUUUGUGUGUAACUUUAAUUUCUGUGUAAAUGUGUUACUUUUACUGUAGUUUUCAAAUGGCUGUGUAUAGUGCUGUCUUGAACAUUUUCAGGUAUCGUCACAAAGAUUUGACUUUUUUUGCAUUGUUAAACACGGAGGUUUUAUUGUGCUUAUGUGUUGAUCCUUAAUGGUGUGAUUAUGUACACUAAAUUAUCAAUUAUUUUCCAUUACAGGUUGUUCUGAUAUAUUUGAGGAGUCGUUCACCCUCUGUUCUAUAUGUGGACUCAUUUGGGACCACCUUUAGAAUUUGGUUGACCACUUGAAAUGUAAGAGUUUGAGGAGUUGUUCCCCCUCUGUCCAUGUUCGAGGACUUGCUCUCUCUCUGCCUUCAUUGCACCAAAGUUUGGCUGUUGAGUCUCCUCUAGUAUGGUUGACCACUUGACUUGUGAGAGUUUGAGGAGUUGUUCCCCCUCCGUCCAUUUUCAAGGACUUGCUCUCUUACUGCUUCCACUUCACCACUUUUUGGCUACUGAGACGUCUUUUAUUUGUUGAGUUCAUUCAUUCAUUCAUCAUCUACCGCUUAUCCUGUACAGAGAGCCAAUCACUCUGUCCCCUUUUGAAGACCUGCUUUGUCUCCUCCAUCAUUCAUUGGGCCACUUUUGGGUUCCUGAUCUUAUUUCAUGUGUUCUUCUUUCUAUGAUUCUUGAGAGAGAGAGAG